UACGUAGGGGGCAAGCGUUGUCCGGAAUCAUUGGGCGUAAAGAGCGUGUAGGCGGCCCGGUAAGUCCGUUGUGAAAGUCCAGGGCUCAACCCUGGAAUGCCGAUGGAUACUGCCGGGCUAGAGUUCGGAAGAGGCGAGUGGAAUUCCUGGUGUAGCGGUGGAAUGCGCAGAUAUCAGGAGGAACACCUAUAGCGAAGGCAGCUCGCUGGAACGGUACUGACGCUGAGGCGCGAAAGCGUGGGGAGCGAACAGG
rnacentral:rRNA from 1 species